rnacentral:misc_RNA from 1 species
ACAAACUUGGUCAUUUAGAGGAAGUAAAAGUCGUAACAAGGUCUCCGUAGGUGAACCUGCGGAGGGAUCAUUACCGAGUGAGCGUCCAAAUCUGGGCGCGACCUCCCACCCCUUGUGGAACACCCCGUCGUGCCUCGGGGGCGACCUGUCCGCCCGUUCGCGGGCGGCGCGGGGCCCCCGGCGGACCCCUUUAACGCGACGCACCGUGUCGUCCAGUGGAAUACAAAUCGUACGCAAAACUUUCAACAAUGGAUCUCUUGGUUCUGGCAUCGAUGAAGAACGCAGC